AUCGAAGCUCAAACCUAUAAAUGAACAUGAAUUAAUGAUCACCUACACAAGGGGAUCAUGAGGGAUCAUGUCAAGAUGGAUGGAAGCAUGGAAGGCUAAAGGGUCAAAAGGAAGCAAGGAAACGGAUACGAAUACAAACGUUUAAGGUAUACUAUUGUGUCCUUAUGAAGAUUUGAUGAUUGGAUGCAAGAUUGUACCCGGAAAGAUAAACAUAAAAGAAUAGAAUGAAUAGAAGAAUGCGGAAUGUUCAUUUAGUUGCGUAUGUCUAGAUUAAGAAUGAUGUCAACAAAUAUUAAUGACGCGCAUGUAUGUGGUGAUUGCAGGUUGCACGGAAGUAACAUC